AAUCUAUAGAGUAGGUUAUCGUCACUUUGAAGUCUUGGAUUUUUUUUUUUUUACUUUUUUACUUCUUUUUUUUUAAAGAAUGGCUAUCGUACCAUUGAAAGAAAGUGUUGUGCUAGUGUUCUCGUCUGCUUUUGUGAGAGCGUCAGUCAUCUUCCAUGUGCUUCUACCUUCUUUUAACUUUUAAUGUAGUUCAGCUUAUGCAAUAAUAUUGUGUUCCACUUGUUUGUUUGUGAUGCAUUUUUUAUGCUUUACAUUGGUUGAAAUAUUUGUGAUGAUGCCCCCAAGUGUGUGAAGUUACACAAAGUGCAAAGGUUAAGACUACCUGGUUAAUAGUCACCCCAUCUUUAAAUCCCUCUCUCUCUCUCUCUCUCUCUUUCUCUCUCUCUAAGUGUCCUGUAAAACUUUACUCUGGAUCUGCUGUGUUCUUAAGGAACUGUUGCUCUUCUUGAUCUUCCAAACUGGUUGGUUUUCAUUUUUAGUUUUGCCUUUCCUUUUUAACCUUUUCUUGGUGCAUGUAUGAACAAAUGCGGGAGAUUGAGGUUGGGGCCCAUGGAUUGGCAAAUGGGGUGUGAACAAAGUGAUCUUGAAAAGAUUGUGCAGGUUUCCAAAAUGGCGGAUCUUGACCAAGUCUACAUUGCCAUUCCAAUGGACCCGUCAUAUUGGUUUUGGAGUCUUGAAGGCGUGACUUUCCCUCAUGUUCUAAUUCUCUGGUAACAAAGUGCUACAUGGAGCACCAUAUUUGCUUGCCUGUUCUCUUCUUUGUGUAAGCGCUUGCCAUUAAGAGAACCCGAGGAAGAAAUCGCUGAUGCUCCUUGAAAUGGAAAGCCAACAUGCCAAAUGAUUGCCCUCACCUUUCAGUCCCAACUAUCAGAAUUCUUGAAAAGUGGAGCAAUGAAGAUUAAUCAUGUCCUCUCCUCAAAAGGGAGUCUGCCAGAUUCAAUUAUAUAACAGGCCUAAAAGUGAUGCAAGUGGCUUCGCUGUUUUAGGAAGAUGAAUUGCAUCUGUUCAACUUUUGAGCAAUUUGCGAGUAAAUGGAGUCAUGAAAUGUCAAAUUGCUUACAAGAUGCACUGCACCUUAGUCUCACGCCAAUGAUCACUCCACAUAGUUCACCGUACCAUGCAUACUGUGAUUUUUGGCACUAUAGGAGAAAAUUUGAAAUGACUCAUACCUGAUGAAUCAAGUGGUUGCAAAUGAUGUAUUUUCAUUUUCCAAGUGGUCCUGAAAUGAUUGAAGAUAAGCUUUGACACCUA